AAGGUUUGUUUUUACCCUGGGGAGAAGAAGGCAUCUAUUAUUCUGUCUCCUAUGGGGUUCAUUGCCAGCUCCUUUAUGGCUCCAAAAUCCUGUGGACUAUUUGAGAAUAAAACAACAUAUGAGCAGGACAGACGCCAGCAAGAGUCCUCAGGGUCGUGUAAAGAAGGAAGAAGGGUGAAAUCAGCAGUGAUGUAGUGAUGACAGAGACAAGCCUGACUUCCCGUACUCUGCUUUCAAGGAAACAAGAAAAGGGAAGGACGACGGAAUUCCCACUGUUGAUCAGCCACAAAGUAGAUGUUUUUUUUUUAAAUGCUUUGUCAAUGAUCGGUGGAUUGUUUGAUUAUUAACACCGGCUAAACUUCGGAAUGCAAAAGUCUCUUAAAGAGAUUCACCCAGAGUUCAAUUAGUUUUUAAAGUCCUCCUAAACGUAUUCCCGAAAGAACUGAGUGGUUUAUUCUGCACUACUUAAGGCUGAUCAAUUCCAAUUCAUCUGAUUUACAUUAUAUUUCUACAUUUUGUCAAGUUUGUUCCCUAUUAUUUAUUUUUUUAACCCUUGUGUGCUGUUGGGGG
rnacentral:lncRNA from 1 species